rnacentral:lncRNA from 10 species
GACCUGCGGCCCGCCAGACCCUCGGCGCGGCCGCCGGACGCCGCGGGGCGGACGCGGAAGUGAACGCCUUCUCAGCUGCUCGGCAACUCGGGAGCAGAGCGGCCCCAGCGGCGCCCCCGUGCGGCCCGGCUCUGAGGCAGCGGCUCAGGGAGGGAGGGAGGCCACGUCCCGGGCACGCCACGCCACGCCACGCCCCGCCCCCAGAUUCGUCUCGCCCCAGUGGGCCGCCUCGGAGUCGGGUGGGUCUUCCAUCCCGGAGGACCCGAUUGGCUGAUGGGGCAACCGCCAACGGCUGUGGCGUUUAAACCCAAGCCGCAGCCGCUGCUGCUCGCCGAGCUCCCGGAGCUGGGUGGGGGUGCCCCACGCUGAAAGAGAGUGAUGGAGUGCCCAGUGAUGGAAACUGGCUCACUUUUUACCUCAGGAAUUAAGAGACAUUUGAAAGACAAAAGAAUUUCAAAGACUACUAAGUUGAAUGUUUCUCUUGCUUCAAAAAUAAAAACAAAAAUACUAAAUAAUUCUUCUAUUUUCAAAAUAUCUUUAAAGCACAACAACAGGGCAUUAGCUCAGGCUCUUAGUAGAGAAAAAGAGAAUUCUCGAAGAAUUACAACUGAAAAGAUGCUAUUGCAAAAAGAAGUAGAGA